rnacentral:misc_RNA from 1 species
GCCAUCGUCCAGGUGUCUCGGUGCUGCUGUGAGAUUAGUUCUUAGAUGGCGCUGCUGUUAUACGAGGCUGCAACCUCAAGAAGGUUGCUGAAGACGAAUAUAUAAUGGCAAUACUUGACCGUUGCUUUCUCUUUGAAUGUUUUGGAUGACUUUCCUAGGUUGUAAUAUAUGUUACGAGUCUUUUUUUUUUCAACCACAAAAAAUNNNCAUUUUCCAGACCAUAUAUUCUGAUGAUGAUAAUUGUCAGAUCCAUUGGUACUGUCCCUGC